AUGAACGCUGUCGACAUGGAGACAACGGGCACCACUGACUCAAGCGUCGGCCAUGGAGCAGGCGACGGCCCGAGCGUCCUCCUUCUCCCGCUCCCGGGGGCGCAGGGCCACACAAACCCGAUGCUCCAGUUCAGCCGCCGCCUCGCAUACCACGGCCUCCGCCCCACCCUCGUCGUCACCCGGUACGUGCUCUCCACCACCUCGCACCCUGUCGCGCCGUUCCGCAUGGCCGUAAUCUCGGACGGCUUCGAUGCUGGUGGCAUGGCGCUGUGCCCCGACUACGCGGAGUACUUCCCACGACUGGAGGCCGUCGGGUCCGAGACUCUGCGGGAGCUCCUUCUGUCCGAGGCGCGCGCUGGGCGGCCAGUGCGCGUGCUGGUUUACGACCCUCAUCUUGCCUGGGCGCUGCGGGUGGCGCGGGCGGCCGGCGUGGCCACCGCGGCCUUCUUCUCCCAGCCGUGUGCUGUGGACAUCGUGUAUGGGGAGCUCUGGGCGGGGCGGCUGGCGCUGCCGGUGACAGACGGGCGAGCACUGCUCGCGAGAGAAGCACUGGGCGUGGAGCUUGGGCCGGAGGACAUGCCGCCAUUCGCGGCUGUGCCGGAGUUGCAACCGGUGCUCACCAAGACGUCGAUUGGGCAGUUCGACGGUCUGGAGGACGCCGACGACGUGCUCCUCAACUCUUUCCGCGACAUCGCGCCAAAGGAGGCCGAGUACAUGGAGUUAACAUGGAGAGCAAAGAUGAUUGGUCCAACUAUGCCAUCGUACUUUCUUGAUGAUAAUCGCCUACCAUCCAACAAGUCUUACGGUUUCAACUUGUUCAGUGAUGGUGUAUCGUGUAUGGAUUGGUUAGACAAGCAUAGCAUGUCCUCCGUUGUGCUUGUAUGCUAUGGCACCGUCUCUAACUACGAUGCAACCCUGUUGGAGGAGCUUGGCAGUGGACUAUGCAAUUCUGGCAAACCUUUUCUUCGGGUUGUCAGAUCCAACGAGGCACACAAGUUAUCGGAAGAACUCAAGGAGAAAUGUGAGAACAAUGGAUUAAUUGUUGCAUGGUUCCACCAACUUCAAGUUUUGCACACAAGGCUAUCGUUGUUAGUGGUGUUCCUCUUGUGGGAAUCCCACAUUGGGCAGACAAACCCACCAUCUCAAAGUAUGUAG
rnacentral:rRNA from 1 species